UGCAGGAUUGAUGAUGGCGGCAAGACGCAACGCCAGGGAAACCACCAAAAACCGGGGCAGAAAAUAUUCUGCCGAUUGUCGAAAAUUUUCUCGGAAGAACGGGGAAACAAUUUCAAAUACAUUUAAGUUCUAGGUCGCCCACCAGUAAAAUGCGGGAAUACAUUUAAGUUCUAGGUCGCCCACAAGUAUAAUGCGGGAAUACAUUUUAAGUUCUAGGUCGCCCACCAGUAUAAUGCGGUAAUACAUUUAAGUUCUAGGUCGCCCACCAGUAUAAUGCGGGAAUACUUUUAAGUUCUAGGUCGCCCACCAGUAAAAUGCGGGAAUACAUUUAAGUUCUAGGUCGCCCACCAGUAUAAUGCGGGAAUACAUUUUAAGUUCUAGGUCGCCCACCAGUAA
rnacentral:lncRNA from 1 species